rnacentral:rRNA from 1 species
UACGUAGGGUGCAAGCGUUAAUCGGAAUUACUGGGCGUAAAGCGUGCGCAGGCCGCUAUGUAAGACAGAUGUGAAAUCCCCGGGCUUAACCUGGGAACUGCAUUUGUGACUGCAUGGCUAGAGUACGGCAGAGGGGGAUGGAAUUCCGCGUGUAGCAGUGAAAUGCGUAGAUAUGCGGAGGAACACCGAUGGCGAAGGCAAUCCCCUGGGCCUGUACCGACGCUCAUGCACGAAAGCGUGGGGAGCAAACAGG